UUUAGUUGCAUGGAUUAGACCCGAAACCGUGUGAGCUACCCAUGACCAGGGUGAAGCGAAAUUAACGUUUCGUGAAGGCCCGAACCCUUGUACGCUGCAAAGUGCUGGGAUGAGUUGUGGGUAGAGGAGAAAUUCCAAACGAACACGGAGAUAGCUGGUUCUCCCCGAAAUGUAUUUAGGUACAGCCUUAGGUAUUAACUGAUGGAGGUAGAGCACUGGAUGAGCUAGCGGGCGCAAGUUUAGCAAACUCAACCAAACUAAGAAUGCCAUCAGCCGAAUCCUAGGAGUGAGACAGUGACGGAUAAGCGCCAUUGUCGAAAGGGAAACAGCCCAGAUCGCAAGCUAAGGUCCCAAAGUUAUAGUUAAGUGGUAAAGGAGGUUGGAUCGCCCAGACAGCUAGUAGGUUGGCUUAGAAGCAGCCAUCCUUUAAAGAGUGCGUAAUAGCUCACUAGUCGAGGGGUUCUGCGCCGAAAAUUAUCGGGGCUAAACUAUACACCGAAGCUGCGGGAUUCUUUAUGAAUCGGUAGGGGAGCGUUCUCAAUGCACUGAAUCUGAAUUGUGAAAUUUGGUGGAGCGUUGAGAAGUGAGAAUGUCGGCAUGAGUAGCGACAAUCUUUGUGAGAAUCAAAGACACCGGAAGUCCGAGGUUUCCUACGCAACGUUGAUCGGCGUAGGGUUAGUCGGUCCUAAGGAGAAGCCGAAAGGUGAAUUCGAUGGACAGCUGGUCAAAAUUCCAGCACCGUAAUUAUCCUGUUAUGCAACGAAGGGACGCGAUAAGGACUGUUAAGCAUGCCUAUGGACAUGGUGUGUGGGGCCUUGUAGGGAAGUGAUUGUGGUUAAAAGAACAGUUACGUUAUUAACUGAGAAGGUUUCAGACCUUAAGGCUUCGGCCUUAGGGAAUUUAACACGAACUAUGUCGCCAAGAAAAGCUUCGUUGAUAGGGAUAUUAUGACCGUACCGAAAACCGACACAGGUGGACAGGGGUAAAAGCCCCAAGGUGAACGAGAAAACCAUCCUCAAGGAACUCGGCAAAUUAACCCCGUAACUUCGGAAUAAGGGGAGCCUAAAAUAUAUAGACUUCGCGUUGAAAGUAUUUUAGGCCGCAGAGAAUUGGUCUGAGCGACUGUUUAUCAAAAACACAGGUCCGUGCUAAAGCGAAAGCUGAUGUAUACGGGCUGACGCCUGCCCAGUGCCGGUAGGUUAAAGUGAAGAGUGAGAGCUUUGGACUGAAGCCCCGGUGAACGGCGGCCGUAACUAUAACGGUCCUAAGGUAGCGAAAUCCCUUGUCGGGUAAGUUCCGACCUGCACGAAAGGCGUAACGACUUGGACACUGUCUCGAGGGUGGACUCGGUGAAAUUGCAUGACCCGUAAAGAUGCGGGUUACGCGCAGCAGGACAAAAAGACCCCGUGGAGCUUUACUGUAGCUUGGCAUUGAAUUGUGAUUAAUGAUGUGUAGGAUAGGCGGGAGACUAUGAAUUUUGAGCGUCAGCUCAAUUGGAGUCGCCCUUGAAAUACCGCCCUUCUUUGGUCUUGAUUCUAACUUUUUUAGGACAGUGUCUGGUAGGCAGUUUGACUGGGGCGGUCGCCUCCUAAAAUGUAACGGAGGCGCCCAAAGGUAACCUCAGGCUGGAUGGAAAUCAGCUUUUGAGUGCAUUGGCAUAAGGUUGCUUGACUGCGAGACCAACAAGUCGAGCAGGGACGAAAGUCGGGCAAAGUGAUCCCACGGUACCGAGUGGAAGGGCCGUGGCUUAACGGAUAAAAGCUACCCCGGGGAU
rnacentral:rRNA from 1 species